rnacentral:misc_RNA from 1 species
GAUGAAGAACGUAGCGAAAUGCGAUACGUAAUGUGAAUUGCAGAAUUCAGUGAAUCAUCGAGUCUUUGAACGCACAUUGCGCCCCCUGGUAUUCCGGGGGGCAUGCCUGUCCGAGCGUCAUUGCUGCCCUCAAGCACGGCUUGUGUGUUGGGCCUCCGUCCUCCUCCCGGGGGACGGGCCCGAAAGGCAGCGGCGGCACCGCGUCCAGUCCUCGAGCGUAUGGGGCUUCGUCACCCGCUCUUGUAGGCCCGGCCGGCGCUUGCCGACACAUCAAUCUUUUUUCCAGGUUGACCUCGGAUCAGGUAGGGAUACCCGCUGAACUUAAGCAUAUCAAUAAUCGGAGGA